rnacentral:rRNA from 1 species
GACGUAGGGGGCGAGCGUUGUCCGGAAUUACUGGGCGUAAAGAGCACGUAGGCGGGAACUUAAGUCAGAUGUGAAAGACCGGGGCUCAACUCCGGGGUGGCAUUUGAAACUAAAUUUCUUGAGGGCAGGAGAGGGCAGUAGAAUUCCUGGUGUAGCGGUGAAAUGCGUAGAAAUCAGGAGGAAUACCAGUGGCGAAGGCGACUGCCUGGACUGACCCUGACGCUGAGGUGCGAAAGCGUGGGUAGCAAACAGGAUUAGAUACCCUGGUAGUCCACGCUGUAAACGAUGGAUACUAGGUGUGGGAGGUAUCGACCCCUUCCGUGCCGGAGCAAACGCAAUAAGUAUCCCGCCUGGGGAGUACGGUCGCAAGGCUGAA